AUCUUUGGCGUGACAGUGUUCAUAUUUCUGCUUCUUCGUUAGCUAACUAACGUAUUUAAACCAAAUAAAAACUGGCCAUUGUCUUAUUAAUUUAAAUAAUAAUUGGACAAUUAUAAGCAGUUAAAGUUUAGUACCUACAUAUAAAGUUGUAAAAUAUUUUAAAGCGUUUAUAAAUAGCUUCUACUUAGGUAGUAAUAUGUAACGGAACGUAUAUGCGAAUCUACGCCUAAUUCAUUUAAAACUUGUGUCGCGUGCGUCGAUUCAAUACUUGAUUUGGAGCUCACAUUGUACAUACUUAAAGUGUGAACAAUGUGUGACGGUUUUCGUCAGCGAUUGAUUCGAUUUGAUGAAGAGCAUCCUGGCUGGGUGGACGGAAGCGAUCAGGUCGAUGAGGACCACGCGUGCGGUUACUGCUACUCGCCCGAGCCAGCUACAGGCGAUGCUGCUACUGCCGCACCCAAAAAGAAGCCUACCCCCCGUAAAACUCCAGAAUCAAUAGCUAAGCAAAGGAAACAACUAGAGAAAGAUUUAGCAACUCACAAGAAGACAUUGGAACAGACGAAAAAGAAAAUAGAGGCAACUAAGAAGAAGUUGGAAAUUAUUAAGAAGAAAGAAAUACAACAGAAAAAAAUGUUGGCCCAAAAAAAACAAAAGACCCAAACCAAGAAGAGCCCUCAAAAACAACAGAAAGCAAUGAUGGUGAAGAAAAGGAUUGUAGAGGAACAAUUUUAUUUUUAAUACAUAUUUUCAAUAAUAAGUGUUAUAUAUGAGAUACGAGUUAACAAAACGUUUUAUUUUUUAUUAUCUGUGGUGCACCUCUCCCGCCAACAACGUUAUUUGAGCGCGCGCUUACUGUACUUAUAAUUUCUGAGCGCAGACUACUCGCAUUCAUCAAGUAUUUAAUGAGCUGAGGAGCUGACGCUAACACUAAAACUACUAGCGACAGCAAAGGAGGAGACGGACAAAAUAUGAGCGACCAGGAAGCUGGCCCCAGUGGCGUGGGUGCGGGAGCGGCUUCGGCAGAUAACAGCGCCCCACCCAGAAGGAAACCACGUAAAACGCAAGCGUCGGUAAAACAGACAAUAGAUCAACUAGAGAAAGAAAUAGCAGAACUUAGACAAUUAAAGAUACAAACAGACAAUGAUAUAAAAGCAAAAACCAAGAUAUUGAAAGAGGCUAAGAAAGAAUUGGCAGAUAUGAAGAAAACUGCGCAAAAGCGCAAAAAGAAAAGCGGGAAACCGACGCGGAAGGCAGCACAACCACAGCCACAACCGACGAUAAAUCCCGGGCGUGUCAGGUAUCUUGUGACAGAGGUUGCCUAGUCGAACCAAAUUGGAAAACUUGUCAUAACACCUUCUUUAGUUAUUUUUUUUUUUACUUUUUUAUUGUGACGUACCUAGUGAAACUACAUAAAUCAUGUUUGCUUAUUGUCGGAGGUCCGUAAAUUGAGGAUAAACCACUAAAAUAUUAGAAACACUUAUUGCUAGGACUAAUGGAGGCAAGCUCUACUAGUUUUAUACCACACCGGGACUUUUAGUCAAGCAACGAGCAACUAGAGUUUUUGCGUCUAACGCGCCCUCUAUUUUUUUCUAUUUUGUCAGUUUGUGGGUUAGGAUGUAUGUUUUUUACUCAAUCUCGUCAAAAUGGGUGAUCUCUUCAGCCUCGGAAUGAAAUUAAGAACAGGAGUAGAUUAUGGUCUGGAAUAACACACAGGACACGUUGCCGCAGACAGAAGCUAGUAUUAUAAUAUAGGUCGUCUGUUUUCUCUAACUUAACAAUACUUCUGUAUUGAACAAAACACAAGCUCUCUCCGUAUCCUUUGUACCACCUACCAACGGACACAUCCAGAUAUUGUAACGUAAUCAUUGUUUGCCAAAACCUUUUUUUAUUUCAAAUAAAAUUACUUUGCAAUCAGAUCAAA